UCGGUAGCAUGCCAAAGAAUAGCAAUAGAAAAAUACAAUAGGUCACAAUAAAAGUGACAGUUGUAAUUUGCACAUAAAAAUAGAGAGCACAGCAUUGCAAGGACAGUGAAGUAUGGGAAGAAGAAAUAAAACCUCAAAAAAUAAUGAUGAUAGUUAUAAUAGUUCUGAACCCAAUAGAUUGUAAAAAGUAUAUUAGUAUAUUUAAU